CCUGGACUAAUGCCAGAACAGACUGCAGAGACCAAGGAGCUGAUCUGGUGAUCAUAGACUCACUUGAAGAACAGAAAUUCAUCUCAGACAUCGUCAAAAGUCAUACUUGGAUUGGUUUGAGUGACAGAGAGAUCGAGGGCACCUGGAAAUGGGUUGAUGGAACUCCACUGACUGGAGCGUAUUGGGGCGCUAAACCUGGUUCAGUUCAACCUGAUGACGCUGGAGGUAACGAGGAUUGUGUUGAAAUAGUUGUCAGCUGGAACUCAGACAGAAACUGGAACGAUAGAGACUGUGCUUACCCU